GUACACAAAAAUGCACAUAUUGUGAGCUCGAUGAGUAGGGCGGGACACGUGGUAUCCUGUCUGAAUAUGGGGGGACCAUCCUCCAAGGCUAAAUACUCCUGACUGACCGAUAGUGAACCAGUACCGUGAGGGAAAGGCGAAAAGAACCCCGGCGAGGGGAGUGAAAAAGAACCUGAAACCGUGUACGUACAAGCAGUGGGAGCCUCUUAAUGGGGUGACUGCGUACCUUUUGUAUAAUGGGUCAGCGACUUAUAUUCUGUAGCAAGGUUAACCGAAUAGGGGAGCCGAAGGGAAACCGAGUCUUAACUGGGCGUUAAGUUGCAGGGUAUAGACCCGAAACCCGGUGAUCUAGCCAUGGGCAGGUUGAAGGUUGGGUAACACUAACUGGAGGACCGAACCGACUAAUGUUGAAAAAUUAGCGGAUGACUUGUGGCUGGGGGUGAAAGGCCAAUCAAACCGGGAGAUAGCUGGUUCUCCCCGAAAGCUAUUUAGGUAGCGCCUCGUGAAUUCAUCUCCGGGGGUAGAGCACUGUUUCGGCAAGGGGGUCAUCCCGACUUACCAACCCGAUGCAAACUGCGAAUACCGGAGAAUGUUAUCACGGGAGACACACGGCGGGUGCUAACGUCCGUCGUGAAGAGGGAAACAACCCAGACCGCCAGCUAAGGUCCCAAAGUCAUGGUUAAGUGGGAAACGAUGUGGGAAGGCCCAGACAGCCAGGAUGUUGGCUUAGAAGCAGCCAUCAUUUAAAGAAAGCGUAAUAGCUCACUGGUCGAGUCGGCCUGCGCGGAAGAUGUAACGGGGCUAAACCAUGCACCGAAGCUGCGGCAGCGACACUAUGUGUUGUUGGGUAGGGGAGCGUUCUGUAAGCCUGUGAAGGUGGCCUGUGAGGGUUGCUGGAGGUAUCAGAAGUGCGA
rnacentral:rRNA from 1 species